rnacentral:misc_RNA from 1 species
AAUGAGGAUAAUGUUGAUAUUUUUAAAAAAUUAUUAGGAUAAUAUAGUUUUUUACUUAGUAAAAGAGAGUUAAAAAUCCUUACUUAUGACUUUAGACUUACUUUAAGUAGUUUUUUUUAACUUAUAAGUCAAACUAAAUGUUAAUCUACUUACGACUUUCUAUUUAUAAAUAGAUUUGAUCGACUUAUAUGCCAAACUAAUCACUCUCUUAAUUUUCACGACAAAAAUCAAAAACUCCUCAGGGGUUCUGUGAUAUAAUAAAUUUUAACCUCAGUUAAGGUGCUGAGGUGUCAUUCAAGCUACAAUGUUCCAUCUAUGGUAAACUAAUCAUAUAUAUAUAUUGAAAUUUCAGGUACUUGUAUGUGUGCGCGACAACUGUUUGCAUCUAUAUAGGGGUCUUUGUGGUGGCUGCAACUGAGAUUUAUAUAUAUAUGGUGAUAGCCUUUCGGAGAAAGAUUCAGGUUUCAAUCAGUAAUGGCAUUCUAUAGCUUCGGAUGAC